UACGUAGGGUGCAAGCGUUGUCCGGAAUUAUUGGGCGUAAAGAGCUCGUAGGCGGUCUGUCGCGUCUGGUGUGAAAAUCCAGGGCUUAACCCUGGACCUGCAUCGGGUACGGGCAGACUAGAGUGCGGUAGGGGAGAUCGGAAUUCCUGGUGUAGCGGUGAAAUGCGAAGAUAUCUGGAGGAACACCGGUGGCGAAGGCGGCAUCCUGGACCGACACUGACGCUGAGGAGCGAAAGCCAGGGGAGCAAACGGG
rnacentral:rRNA from 1 species